AUUGAACGCUGGCGGCAUGCCUAACACAUGCAAGUCGAACGAGUGGCGGACGGGUGAGUAAUGUCUGGGCAACUGCCCGAUGGAGGGGGAUAACUACUGGAAACGGUAGCUAAUACCGCAUACUAUCGGUUGUGGCUAGAUGGGAUGAGCUAGUAGGUGGGGUAACGGCUCACCAAGGGGACGAUCCCUAGCUGGUCGGAGAGGAUGACCAGCCACACUGGGACUGAGACACGGUCCAGACUCCUACGGGAGGCAGCAGUGGGGAAUAUUGCACAAUGGGCGAAAGCCUGAUGCAGCCAUGCCGCGUGUGUGAAGAAGGCCUUCGGGUUGUAAAGUACUUUCAGCGGGGAGGCGUUACUCGAAGAAGAAGCACCGGCUAACUCCGUGCCAGCCGCCGCGGUAAUAC
rnacentral:rRNA from 1 species